rnacentral:rRNA from 1 species
CCCCUAGAUGUUCUGGGCCGCACGCGCGCUACACUGAACAGUUCAACAAGUCUUAACCUUGGCCGAUAGGUCUGGGUAAUCUUUGAACGCUGUUCGUGAUUGGGAUAGACCUUUGCAAUUAUGGGUCUUCAACGAGGAAUUCCUAGUAAACGCAAGUCAUCAGCUUGCAUUGAUUACGUCCCUGCCCUUUGUACACACCGCCCGUCGCACCUACCGAUCGAAGGUAAUGAUGAGCCCUCAGGAUUGUGGCCUCGUCGCGUCAGCGUCUUGGCUGCGAGAAUCUGUGCAAAUCCCUACCUUUAGAGGAAGGUGAAGUCGUNACA